rnacentral:lncRNA from 1 species
UUUUAAUACCCCUGGCAGGUAGCCAUGGUUAAAUCAAUCUUGAUUUUAAGCUAAAUAAAAUCGCUGCGCAUACGCAGCUGGCUGCUACAAAGCCGUGUUCAGGUUUUUUUUUUUUUACCUUUUCAUUAUAAAAAAUAAAAGCAAAGCCACAAAAUGGCUCUUAUUAGCGCUUUAUGGUUUAUAUAAUAUAAAAGUCUUUGCUCAUAUUUACCCUGGAUGGUAAAGGCAGUAAUUGUGAACCAUGAUGGAGGGCUCCUUGCACCUGUAGCCUGAGCUGUCACAGGGGUUCAUAACUCAGUACUUUGCCUCCUCUCUUGUCACGAGUGGGGGAAACUGAGGCAAAGGCAGCACCUGGGCUGAUGAGAUAACACAUAGAAGCAUUUAUGUGUUAUUUAUUGCUACAGCUCUACAGCUGAUGCCCGUCAAACCUGAAAAAGGCAAUGGAGCUGCUCUGCUGCCAGUUGAGCUGAGUCUCCGGCUCCAUUUCUAUCCCACCCCUUGUGGAGAGAACAUCACCAUGACCGUCCCUGGGAGGAUUCAUCAAGGAAAGCAGCGAGCAGCACAGCAGGCAAGUCCAAUAACCCCUCCCAGUGUGAUGGAGGCCAGGAGAACGCCCAGGAGGCCCAGGACAGAGCCUGGGUGUUCCACAGCAAAGCCUCUCCCAGCGUGGGAGGCUUGGAUCUCUGCUCGAAAGGCGGGAGGCUUGAAAUCCACAUGGAGGGAAAUGCCAACAUCUUGUGACUGCUGCUUUGAUUUUGCUUGCACCCACCUCUUAUCACCGCUCCUUGGUUUCUGCUAUGAGGGACUAAAAAGUUUGUGCAUCCCAUAUGCAGAGCCACAGCAGCCAAGGGCUGGCCUGCUGCUUGCAGGUGGGUACCACUCCAUCACCUCCUCCAACGCUACGGCCCAUCAUGAGACGGUGUUCUGCUGCUCUGUCUUGGGGAAAUAGGGCACAAGCAAUGCUGCUGAGCAGGAUGCAAAAGGGAAUGGCAGCUUGCCUGCCCCGCUCUCGUGUUUUUGCCACGGGACACAUGGAGACACGUCCAUGCACCCAACCCUUUGCACAAACACGUGCACAGGGACACAGAUGGCUGAGGAGUUAAAGGGUGGCGUCCCGAAGGAGAGGCUGCCUCACCGAAACACAUCAUUGGCACGGGAGUAUUUUUGCCUCCUGACCAUUUCUGAAUCCAAGAUUUUCCUUUCUUCUGGAACAGCUGCUUUAACCUUUCGCAGACCCGAAAUACAGCCCGUGCACCAAACGCAGACACAAAGCCAUGCACGCUCGCACGAAGCAGAUAACGAUGACUAAGCCAGGCCAUGGCAAAGCCAUGAGCAGAAGGGGAGCGCUGACAGAUGUGGGAGGCAGAAAGCAUUGCUGAUUUAUUUAUUUUUCUUGCUUUAGCAAAAGAGAGAGAAUUUAUGACCCUUCCCCAGGCCGGAGCUGUCAGGCCUGGGCGACGCCUGUCUGCGUCACCAGUUUGCAUUCUGCUUGCAGAGCCCCUUGCCCUGUUGCACCCCAGUCCUUGCUUGUGAGCUUGGACGUUGCUUAAGUCUAACUCUCCCCAGUUCAACAUGGCUGUUAUGCUGGUUCUUAAUGGAGAUUUUUCUCCUUGCCAUAGCAGAAAUGCUCCUGUGGAUGCCACCUCUAUGGGUGGCAUGGGUCUCUCGUGCCUCGUUUACCCUUUCUCAGGAGAGGAGGAUGACUCCUACUUCUGAUCUAUUGACAGAAAGCACUGCGGAAAAGCAAAGUACAUUUCCACUCUCUUCUACUGCUUGCUCACUGAUGGCACACGUCCUUCCUGUCCAAUGACUCACCUCGCUAAGCCAACGAACCGGAGGUACGAGCCUCACCGCGGAAGAUAAUUUGGAAUUAAUUCCCUGCGAUGACUCUUAUUACUAAACCCUUUCGAUGGGCUUUGCGCUCAUUGCCUCUUCCAGGUGCGUUAGCA